AGCUCUAUCAAUGGCACUGCCGUCGUCGUCUCCGACGACGGCGACGUUGGAUAGUUGCAAAGAUCAUCGUCGGUUUCGGAGGCUGUCAUGGAUGGAGGCUAGCACUUCAGAGGAGGCAGAUGAUGCAGUGCUGCUGCUGCACGAGAAGAGCAAGAGCUGAUGGAUUUUGUUGGAGCUGUGUAGGCAAGUCUGAUGCUUGGCUGAUUUUCUCAUACCGUGUUCUUGAGAGAGGCAAUCCUUUUCCCUUUCAAUUCUCUACCUAUUAAUUUCGUGGUUCAGGUUUGUUGUUCAUUUGUGAUUCUGUGCUGUUCGAUUGUUUUUGUUCUAUAUACUUCUGUAAAGAUCAUUUGAUGGUAUUGGUCUAUGAAUAAUCGAUC
rnacentral:sRNA from 1 species